CGGGGGGUGCGAGCGUUGUCCGGAAUCACUGGGCGUAAAAGGGCGCGUAGGUGGCUUUGUAAGUUUGCGGUGAAAGCCCGGGGCUCAACCCCGGGUCUGCCGUGGAUACUGCAAGGCUUGAGUACUGUAGAGGCAGGUAGAAUAUCGGGUGUAGCGGUGGAAUGCGUAGAGAUCCGAUAGAAGACCGGUGGCGAAGGCGGCCUGCUGGGCAGUAACUGACACUGAGGCGCGACAGCGUGGGGAGCAAACAGGAUU
rnacentral:rRNA from 1 species